AGUGAACGCUGGCGGUAGGCCUAACACAUGCAAGUCGAACGGCAGCACAGUAAGAGCUUGCUCUUACUGGUGGCGAGUGGCGGACGGGUGAGGAAUACAUCGGAAUCUACUUUUUCGUGGGGGAUAACGUAGGGAAACUUCCGCUAAUACCGCAUACGACCUACGGGUGAAAGCAGGGGAUCUUCGGACCUUGCGCGAUUGAAUGAGCCGAUGUCGGAUUAGCUAGUUGGCGGGGUAAAGGCCCACCAAGGCGACGAUCCGUAGCUGGUCUGAGAGGAUGAUCAGCCACACUGGAACUGAGACACGGUCCAGACUCCUACGGGAGGCAGCAGUGGGGAAUAUUGGACAAUGGGCGCAAGCCUGAUCCAGCCAUACCGCGUGAGUGAAGAAGGCCUUCGGAUUGUAAAGCCCUGUUGUUGGGAAAGAAAAGCAGCAGGUUAAUACCCCGCUGUUCUGACGGUACCCAAAGAAUAAGCACCGGCUAACUUCGUG
rnacentral:rRNA from 1 species